rnacentral:rRNA from 1 species
AUUGAACGCUGGCGGCAGGCCUAACACAUGCAAGUCGAGCGGAUGAAGGGAGCUUGCUCCUGGAUUCAGCGGCGGACGGGUGAGUAAUGCCUAGGAAUCUGCCUGGUAGUGGGGGAUAACGUCCGGAAACGGGCGCUAAUACCGCAUACGUCCUGAGGGAGAAAGUGGGGGAUCUUCGGACCUCACGCUAUCAGAUGAGCCUAGGUCGGAUUAGCUAGUUGGUGGGGUAAAGGCCUACCAAGGCGACGAUCCGUAACUGGUCUGAGAGGAUGAUCAGUCACACUGGAACUGAGACACGGUCCAGACUCCUACGGGAGGCAGCAGUGGGGAAUAUUGGACAAUGGGCGAAAGACUGAUCCAGCCAUGCCGCGUGUGUGAAGAAGGUCUUCGGAUUGUAAAGCACUUUAAGUUGGGAGGAAGGGCAGUAAGUUAAUACCUUGCUGUGUUGACGUUACCAACAGAAUAAGCAACGGCUAACUUCGUG